AAAAAUCCUUCAGUAGUGUUUGUGUGUGAUAUUGUCACGGCGGAGCUUCGACGUCUAGAGAGAGAAAAACCCUCGCCGGAAAAUUGAAAAACAAUGUGCUCUACAAAGCACAAGCAGAAGCACCAAAACAGCCAUAAUCACCCCCGCACCUCCCCCUCCACUACGGCUGCCGCCACCGGGGAGGAUUGGAGGGAUGAGGCCAUCACCACCGGAUCGCUGAAGCACGUCGACCUCAACACCGGAUCCAACGGCUGGGGGUCGCCGCCAGGGGACCUAUUCUCCGUCCGCGGCCCGAAUUACCUGACGAAGAAGGGCAAGAACCCCGCCGGCGAGUGGCUGAUGAAUCCGGCCGGCGUCGACUGGCUCAGAUCCAGCGGCAAACUCGAUCACGUCCUGGCGCGGCCGGACAACCGCGUGAUGAACGCGCUGCGCGCCUCGAGGUGCGAGAAAUCGUCGAAGACGUUCGUCAUCGCGAUCAAUCUCCAAGUCCCAGGGCGCGAGCAUCACUCGGCGGUUUUCUACUUUUCCAGCAAGGUCGACGAGCCGAUUGGGUCGAAUUCGCUGCUGUAUCAGUUCAUCAACGGCUCCGACGCCUUCCGCAGCAGUCGAUUUAAGAUUGUGAAUAAAAUCGUGAAAGGUCCGUGGAUUGUGAAAACGACGGUGGGGAAUUACUCGGCGUGUUUGUUAGGGAAGGCGUUGAAUUGCUACUACCACCGCGGACCUAAUUAUUUGGAAAUCGAUGUCGAUAUCGGUAGCUCCGCCAUCGCCUCCGCGAUUUUGAAGCUGGCGUUGGGUUGCGUGACGGCGGUGACAGUGGAUAUGGGGUUUCUGGUUGAGGGGCAAAAGGAGGAAGAGCUGCCUGAGCGGUUAUUCGGUGCCGUGAGGAUUUGUCAAAUGGAGAUGAGCUCAGCCACGUUUGUUGAGAGCGCAAUCGCAACAAGCAAGGUUUUGCCGAUGAGUAGUGGCGGUGAAAGCGAAAAUGAGGAUGAUUAAAUGAUUAAAUCCUUAGCCGUUGGGAAGCUAGUGUGCAGAACAAUGAAGAAAAGGAUAGGGCUACAUUUUCUUCAGCCAUCCAUCCAAAGGUAGGAAGGAGGGAGCCAAAAUUUGAUACUACUAUAAUAUUUAUAGUGAGUUGGCUGGAAAGAUAUGUUUCUUGGAUUAUCAUUUUCUUGAGGUGUGAGAACUUUUGUUCUGUUGUGGGUUCUGCUUGGCUGUGGGUUGAGAAAGGAGAUUGCUUUAAUCUUUAUGGGGGUGUCCAGUCCAUAUCAUAGUGUUGAUAUUGUAAUCUAGUGGGUGAGCAGGAAUCCUCUUUUUCUCAGAAGUAAAGGCAACUUUAAUGUCUGAAAAUCACCAGUACAAAAAUGUACUUUAACAUCUUCCUUGGAAGGGCAUGGUGUUGAUCAGACAUGAUUGAUGCCGUACCCCUUUUUAUUGAAUGAUAGGUACAUGAAUCAUGAAUCACCACUCAAUCUUGCAGGAGCCUUGUACAUAUUUGUCAUUCAUCUCUCAAUUAUUUCGUUUUCACUCAUUGUGAGUUUGGUGCUGUUAUGUGAUUGGCUGUGGUGGCCAUCCAAACUGAUCAGCUAAUAAUUUUGAGAAGUUGGUUGUUAAUCUUGAGAGACAGUGCAGAAUCUUCUUUUUUUGAUGAGGUCUAACCCUACUGAUAGAAUUAUCAAUUGCAAAUCUCACACCCAAUGGAAAAUGGAAAUUGUGGAUGCAAGUCGUAGAAGUUUGGCAUACUCGAGAUAUUUUUAUUUUAUCGAUAUACUUGGCUUAUUCAAUGUAUUGAUGUCUAAAGAUAAAACUUGUAGGGACGAUACGUGCAAAACAUAGAAAAAGGGUUGUGCAAUUUGUACAAUCUUGCAUAGAGUAUGGGUAACCCAUACCUCUUCCCAUAGGUGUUAAUUCAACUCCUGUAACCUCA